rnacentral:rRNA from 1 species
AUUGAACGCUGGCGGCAGGCCUAACACAUGCAAGUCGAACGAGUGGCGGACGGGUUCGUAAUGUCUGGGAAACUGCCUGUUGGCGGGGGAUAACUACUGGAAACGGUAGCUAAUACCGCAUACCAUCGGAUGUGCCCAGAUGGGAUUGGCUAGUCGGUGGGGUAAAGGCUCACCUAGGCGACGAUCCCUAGCUGGUCUGAGAGGAUGACAAGCCACACUGAAACUGAGAGACGGUCCAGAAUGCGCGGGAAGGAAGCAGGGGGGAAUAAUGCACAAUGGGAGCGAGCCUGAUGCAGCCAUGCCGCGUGUAUGAAGAAGGCCUUCGGGUUAUAAAGUACUUUAAGCGGGGAGACGUUACCCGCAGAAGAAGCACCGGCUAACUCCGCGCCAGCAGCCGCGGUAAUAC